CUCCUCACAAACAUACCAGAAAGAAGAAUCCUACCCUAGUUGGGGGAGGGGAGUGAUAGGUGAUCUAAUACUUUUUUGCAUUGUUACAGGCUUUGAGUCGCUUAUCUACCCAGUAACUUAAUGCAUUGUAAACUGUUUGUUUCAUAUUGGUGGAGAUUACAUGAAGAAGAACAAGAUAAGCACUUGUGUACUUGUGUGUCUGGGCUGGCUUCUACCAUCCCCAAAAGAAAAUCAUGUCUUAACUGACCUACGGAGAGAAAGAGCUGAAGACCUACUGAGCCAGUCUUCAUAGCUAGCCCUGAGCCAACCCAUAAACACAUGGGGAGCUCUGGUCUUUACUGCGAGCAUCACUUCCUGGCUCCAGCACAGAUCCUUCAUCCCAUCAGCACAGACUUUCUAACUUUCACCACUGGCCUUUGUGCCUUCCUGGUACAGAUCCUUGAUGCAGAUUUGCACGAGACAUCGAUGUAGGCUCUAGGCCUCUGGCUAGACUUGUGGGGGACAUUGCUUUAGGCUCCGAGACUUCAGCUGGACUUCUGUGGAUCAUUGCUGUGGGAUCCAAGCCCUUGGCUGGAUUCUUUGGGUCUCUAGCAUGUGGAUAGAUCUCUUGUACUCCUCAGCAUUUGACUUUUUGAGUGAAUAUUUUCAAAUAGUUGUGUAAAUUACGUGUCCUGUAUUAAAAUCUAUUCCCUUGCAAACCCUGACUACAAC
rnacentral:lncRNA from 1 species